rnacentral:rRNA from 1 species
UGGGGAAUAUUGGACAAUGGGGGCAACCCUGAUCCAGCCAUGCCGCGUGAGUGAUGAAGGCCUUCGGGUUGUAAAGCUCUUUUGGCGGGGACGAUGAUGACGGUACCCGCAGAAUAAGCCCCGGCUAACUUCGUGCCAGCAGCCGCGGUAAGACGAAGGGGGCUAGCGUUGUUCGAAAUUACUGGGCGUAAAGCGAGUGUAGGCGGUUGCCGUAGUCAGGUGUGAAAGCCUUGAGCUCAACUCAAGAAAUGCACUUGAUACUGGGUGACUAGAGGACCGGAGAGGAUAGUGGAAUUCCCAGUGUAGUGGUGAAAUACGUAGAGAUUGGGAAGAACACCAGUGGCGAAGGCGGCUAUCUGGACGGUUACUGACGCUAAGACUCGAAAGCGUGGGGAGCAAAACAGGA